rnacentral:rRNA from 1 species
GACGAACGCUGGCGGCGUGCUUAACACAUGCAAGUCGAACGGAAAGGCCCUGCUUGCAGGGUGCUCGAGUGGCGAACGGGUGAGUAACACGUGGGUGAUCUGCCCCUUACUUUGGGAUAAGCCUGGGAAACUGGGUCUAAUACUGGAUAGGACCAUGCUGUAGGUGGUGUGGUGGAAAGAUUAGUUUCGGUAAGGGAUGAGCUCGCGGCCUAUCAGCUUGUUGGUGGGGUAAUGGCCUACCAAGGCGUCGACGGGUAGCCGGCCUGAGAGGGUGGAAGGCCACCUUGGGACUGGGAUACGGGCCCGAAUCCUACGGGGGGGAGGAGGGGGGAAAAGUGGAACAUUGGGGGAAGCCUGAUGCAGGGAAGGCGGGGGGGGGAUGACGGCCUUCGGGUUGUAAACUCCUUGCAGCCAUGACGAAGCCCUUGUGGUGACGGUAGUGGUAGAAGAAGCACCGGCUAACUACGUG